UGCUGGGUCUCCUUAGGCUGAGCUUCUCUUUGUUUAGGUGCUUCUUUCUGCUUGCUCAUGAAGGGUUGAAGUACUUGGUGGAACUGGAAGCUCACAGCUUCAGUUCUGCAUUUCUCUCCAGGUCAUUUAAAAGAGUCUCACUCUGUUGACUCUUUAAAAACCAUGACAGCCCUGCGGAGAAGUACAGGGGGAUACUGGUGUAUGAAAGGAUGGACAGGAGCCAGCAGUGGGUGUUUGCAUCCCAGAAAGCAAACUAUAUUCUGGGCUGCAUAAAAUGAAGAACAGUCAGCAAGUCCAGAGGCCUUAUUCUCCCCAUCUAGUCUUCUUUUGUUAGACCCCACCUGGAGUGCUGUGCCCAACUCUGGGCAUGUAUCUGUUGGACUGGAUGCAAAGGUGGGUCAUGAAAAUAGUCAAAGGGCUGGAAUACCUCUCCAGUGAAGAAAGGCAGCAGGAGUUAGGGCUGAUUAGCUGGGAAAAAAGAAUGCUCUGGGACAACCUCAUUGUGGCUUCUGAUACAUCAAAGGCAGAGGUCAGAUUGAUUCUGCCACAGGAGCUUAGGAAAAAUAUAGAGAUAACAUUUUUACCAGGACGUGUAGUAGCAGGGCAAGAAGCAAUGGUUUUAAAUUAAAAGAUGUAGGUUUAGGUUAGACAUUUUUAAUAGUGAAGGUAGUGAAAUACUGGAAGAGGUAGGCCAAAGAAGAUGUGGAUGCUGCAUAUCUGGACAUGUUCACAGACAUGUUGGAUGAGGCUUUAAACAACCUAUUCUAAUGAAAGGUGUCAUGUGGUGGGGGCAUUAUAAACAGACAAUAUUUAAAGGUCCCUUCCAGUCCAAACCAUUCUAUACUUCUAUGACCUUUCUCCACUUUACUAGUUUCAUAAAAAUUAAUAUUUUUUAAAAUAUAUUUUUUUGUUGAAUUUCACACGUUAUAUGAUUUGAAUCUCUCUUUUAAGAUAUAUAUUCAAUUAUUCAGGUUUAACAAAUAACAUUAAUGCAUCCUUAAGUUAUUUUAGUAUUCUUUCAUGUGAUUUCAACUGAUGUUAUUUUUUAAAGAUAGAAAACCUUUGGGAGAACUUAUGUGAAUCUGUAUCUCACUAGCUCACUACAAGUCUGUGUGGACAGUUCAUGGGUGAAUAUGCUGCAUCCAUCUGCUUUUCACCUUUUUUUUUUCUUUCAUUGUGGGAGGUAGGUCCUUCUAUUACCAUAUCAUUGAUAGCUCUCUCAAUUAUGUUUUCUUUUUAUCUGUCAAACUCCCUUCUUUAGACAUUAUUAAAAAUAAAUAUAUCUAUAUUUCUAUUAAUAUUCUACAAGCCCUUUCACUGUAGUCUCCAGAGUUUCUCUCUAUUGUGAUAUUAAUUUUCUUGACCUUGUUUCUCCAUGGCACUCGGUGUGACACGUUAUAUGAUAUUCAGUAUGGAUAUGUCAUCUGUAUUGUACAAUGGGAGGGAAGCAAAAGAUUGUAUGGUCUGUAUAAAGUCACAAAAAUAGUCCUUUGGAUAACUGGGAAUCAAAUCUGAAAUGCUUGAGUAUCAUUCUCAUAUUUUAGCCCUUUUCUGUAUGCAGCAAGCAAGCUAAAUUUAGGUUAUAAAUUUGCAUGUUACAUGCCUGUAUUCACACCAGUGCUGAAAGAGAAGAACUAUUACCGAAUACACUUGUGGGCAGAAAAUCUGUGUCCUCUCAGUAUUCUAAUUGCCUUAAUAUCCUAUAGCAGAUGUUUCACAGCUUUCCUGCCUGGAGAGUCCAUAUUUGGUUUUAUGAUUUUGAUUUUUUAAAAAUAGAAAGAAAAAGCUUACCAGGGAUUGAAAACACUGGCAAGCAAAUAUGUUAACUGUAGCCAUAAAUUAUUUUCAGCCCAAAUUACUGUUUAUUAGUUCAUAAAUAUUGUAGCUAUCAUUGCUAUUUGUCUCUGAGAAAGAAAACAUGCUUGUAAAAUACCAAACUUUCUGGAGAAAAUCUUAAUCUAAAUAAAUGUUACUGUUAUAUGUAAUAAAGUAUUGUGAUAUUAGA